rnacentral:rRNA from 1 species
UGAGGAAUAUUGGUCAAUGGGCGAGAGCCUGAACCAGCCAUCCCGCGUGCAGGAAGACGGCCCUAUGGGUUGUAAACUGCUUUUGUGCAGGAAGAAUGUGCCCAUCGUGAUGGGUAUUGACGGCACUGCAUGAAUAAGCACCGGCUAACUCCGUGCCAGCAGCCGCGGUAAUACAGAGGGUGCGAGCGUUAAUCGGAAUUACUGGGCGUAAAGGGUGCGUAGGCGGUUUAAAGGGUGUGAUGUGAAAGCCCCGGGCUUAACCUGGGAAGUGCAUCGCAAACUAUUAGACUGGAGUAUAUGAGAGGGGGGCGGAAUUUCCGGUGUAGCGGUGAAAUGCGUAGAGAUCGGAAGGAACGUCAAUGGCGAAGGCAGUCACCUGGCAUAAUACUGACGCUGAAGCACGAAAGCGUGGGGGGCGAACAGG